rnacentral:rRNA from 1 species
UACGAACCGUCCAAACGUUAUUCGGAAUCACUGGGCUUAAAGGGUGCGUAGGCGGCCCGGAAAGUUGGGUGUGAAAGCCCUCGGCUCAACCGAGGAAUAGCGCGCAAAACUACCGGGCUCGAGGGAGACAGAGGUAAGCGGAACUUAGGGUGGAGCGGUGAAAUGCGUUGAUAUCCUAAGGAACACCAGGAGCGAAAGCGGCUUACUGGGUCUCUUCUGACGCUGAGGCACGAAAGCUAGGGGAGCGAACGGG